AUUACAAAAGGCAAAAAGAUAUUAAUAAACACUCUUUACUUUUUAUUUAAUGACAAAAAAAAAGAUAAUCUCUCUCUAACAAGGAUGGAACACACUAAUCUGAAAUAUAACAAACAAUAAUUCUCAACAUGCGAUGCAUUUUAACUUGAACAAUUACUCUAACAUGGAUGACACACAUUUAUCUGAAAUAUAACAAACAAUAAUUCUCAACAUACGAUGUAUUUUAACUUGAACAAAUACUCUAACAAGGAUGAAACACAUUUAUCUGAAAUAUAACAAACAAUAAUUCUCAACAUACGAUGUAUUUUAACUUGAACAAA